rnacentral:rRNA from 1 species
GAUGAACGCUAGCGGCAGGCCUAACACAUGCAAGUCGAGGGGGAGGUUACUUUCGGGUAACUGAGACCGGCGUACGGGUGCGUAACGCGUAUACAAUCUGCCUUUCACUGGGGGAUAGCCCGAAGAAAUUUGGAUUAAUACCCCAUAGUAUAGUAAUACGGCAUCGUGAUGCUAUUAAAGCUUAGGUGGUGAAAGAUGAGUAUGCGUUCUAUUAGCUAGUUGGAGAGGCAACGGCUCCCCAAGGCGAUGAUAGAUAGGGGUUCUGAGAGGGAUGUCCCCCACACUGGUACUGAGAUACGGACCAGACUCCUACGGGAGGCAGCAGUGAGGAAUAUUGAACAAUGGUCGGAAGACUGAUCCAGCCAUGCCGCGUGCAGGAUGAAGGUCUUAUGGAUUGUAAACUGCCUUUGUAAGGGAAGAAUAAGGGCUACGCGUAGUUUGAUGACGGUACCUUACGAAUAAGCAUCGGCUAACUCCGUG